rnacentral:rRNA from 1 species
GAGUUUGAUCUUGGCUCAGAUUGAACGCUGGCGGCAUGCUUUACACAUGCAAGUCGAACGGCAGCGCGGGGCAACCUGGCGGCGAGUGGCGAACGGGUGAGUAAUAUAUCGGAACGUACCCAAGAGUGGGGGAUAACGUAGCGAAAGUUACGCUAAUACCGCAUACGAUCUAAGGAUGAAAGUGGGGGAUCGCAAGACCUCAUGCUCCUGGAGCGGCCGAUAUCUGAUUAGCUAGUUGGUGAGGUAAAGGCUCACCAAGGCGACGAUCAGUAGCUGGUCUGAGAGGACGACCAGCCACACUGGAACUGAGACACGGUCCAGACUCCUACGGGAGGCAGCAGUGGGAAUUUUGGACAAUGGGCGCAAGCCUGAUCCAGCAAUGCCGCGUGAGUGAAGAAGGCCUCGGUUG